AUCAGCAAGUGAACUGGGUGUGCUUUAGGAAUCACCUCAUUCUCAGGAGUGCAUAGAUACACUUCUUAGAUUUGGAUUGGCGGGCAACUCAAGAUGACCCUGUCUUCAUUCGAAGUGGCCAUGAAUACUAUGGCCUCUGUUGUCAGUGACUACCUGGAGGAAAAGAAGAGAGUUCCCAAGAUUACUAAGGAUGGGCUGAAUCAGCUGGUGAAAGAGCAGUUCCCACACUGCGAGAAGAAAGAAAUCAGCCGAGGAGCUUAUGAGAUCAGAAUCCCACUGGCUGUCCUGCCAAGAGACCCUUUCUCCCCCACCACGGAAGGCACCACAUUAAGCUGCUUGGAACUGAACGUCAUCAUCCGAACGAAGAAACUCAAACAGGUACAGACUGACAUUUCCUUUCUUACAAAAAGCCAACACCUGGACCUAUAUGUAUG